GCGAUAGCUCAGUUAGUUAGAAUGUGACGCUGAUAACGCCAAGGUUGCAGGUUCGAUUCCUAUAUGGAACA